AUCACACCAAGAAGUCAAGGGGAGAGAUCAAACAGGACACCCAGGCAGAACAAUGCUUGAUGUAUAGUAGGCACUCGAUAAACAUUUAGAAUGGCUGCUGACUCAUGGAAGGAAUGUGGUUUUCCACGGCACUUAGCAUGGCAAAGCAGGCAAGGCUCCUGUAACAGACGUCAGAACAGAGCCUCUUCUCCAGACCUCAUGCUGAGUGGAGAGACCACAGGUCAGAGGAAAGUGGCUGUCAUGCCAUCACGAGGACAACAGGCUCUACAGACUCUUACUUUGUCAUGCUCGGUAGAGUGCCAUGGCGUUACAGCUCACAGCAACCUCAAACUCUUGGGCUCCAGCGAUCCUCUUGACUCAGUCUCUUGAGUAGCUAGAACAACAGUGUGUGGCCCAAGGUAACGCCUAUCCUUCCAAUAUACAGCAGAGAAAAAAAAAAGCUGGAUGCUCCCCUCCUCUGGAUCACUCUAACCCUAUUCACUAUCUGAUAGCAAGCCCACGAAAAAUUGUGAGAGACCAUCUAGCUGG